UUUUUAUUUAUGUUUAUUUUAUUUAGUGCUAUGUGUGUCUUUUGUCUGCAAAGACAACCUCUUUGCUACUUUUAUCACUUCAGUUUAUUAACUUCUGUGUGAAAUCUAAACUCCCUAGCAGAGCCACAGACACUCAAGAACAAAGAUCCCUUUGUUUGCCUUAAUUAAAAACCCUCACAGCAUUGCAAGGAACAAAAACAGUUCUGGCCAUAGUGAAGCAGCUUGCAUGAUUAGACCUUCCAGCUUGCUAAGUAAGAUGACCUAUACAUAAUGCCUUUUAAUAUGUUUCAAGAUUCUGUCAUUAUUUCAAUUCAUUUGUUGAUUACUUUAAUAACUGUGAUGGAAUUACUCAGUAUUAUACAGUUACUUCUGAUAGGAGCUUUGUUAUAAUAAUACUUGGUUUCCGCAUAACAAAUGUAUAAUGAAACUGUAUUUGCAAGUAAUUACUAUGCCAUUUCUACAAACUAUGACAAAGACAGACAACAGACAAACUGUUAAAUAUUGAUAAUUUUUUAAGAGCUUCCCUCCCAUGUGAAAGUUGCUGCCGUGUGUUUGUCAUUGUUCCAGGUCACUGGUUUUGCCAGUCAACCAGCUUAAUGAAUCAGCAGCCUGGUAGAGUCAAUGUCUCAGGGUUGCACUAUAGUAGUAUGUGUGGAGGAUAGUCCAGUACUAUAGUAUAGUACUAUGUGUGGACAGUCCUUUACUAAAUCAUAGUAGUAUGUAUGCACAGUCCCUUACUCCCUCCCCACCAGUCUGUCUCCGCUAUAAAUGUACUAUACACUGCCGGUCAAAGUUGUAGAACACCUACUCAUUCAAGGGUUUUCUUUAUUUUUACCAUUUUCUACAUUGUAGAAUAAUAGUGAAGACAUCAAAACUAUGAAAUAAUACAUAUGGAAUAAUGUAGUAACCAAAAAAGUAUUAAACAAAUCUAAAUAUAUUUGAGAUUCUUCAAAUAGCCACCCUUUGCCUUGAUGACAGCUUGGCAUUCUCUCAACCAGCUUCACCUGGAAUGAUUUUCCAGCAGUCUUAAAGGAGAUCCCACAUAUGCUGAGCACUUGUUGGCUGCUUUUCCUUCCCUCUGCGGUCCGACUCAUCCCAAACCAUCUCAAUUUAGUUGAGGUCGGCUGAUUGUGGAGGCCAGGUCAUCUGAUUCAGCACUCCAUCACUCUCCUUCUUGGUCAAAUAGCCCUUACACAGCCUGAAGGUGUGUUGGGUCAUUGUCCUGUUGAAAAACAAAUGAUAGUCCCACUAAGCCCAAACCAGAUGGAAUGGCGAAUCGCUGCAGAAUGCUGUGGUAGCCAUGCUGGUUAAGUGUGCCAUGAAUUCUAAAUAAAUCACAGACAGUGUCACCAGCAAAUCACCCCCACACUAUAACACCAUCUCCUCCAUUCUUUAUGGUGGGAAAUACACAUGCAGAGAUCAUUCGUUCACCCACACCGCAUCUCACAAACACACGACGGUUGAAUCCAAAAAUCUCAAAUUUGGACUCCCGUCCAAAGGACAAAUGUCUGCCGGUCUAAUGUCCAGUGCUCGUGUUUCUUGGCCCAAGCAGUGUCUUCUUAUUGGUGUCCUUUAGUAGUUGUUUCUUUGCAGUAAUUUGACCAUAAAGGCCUGAUUCACACAGUCUCCUCUGAACAGUUGAUGUUGAGAUGUCUGUUACUUGAACUCUGAAGCAUUUAUUUAGGCUGCAAUUUCUGAGGCUGGUAACUCGAAUUAACUUAUCCUCUGCAGCAGAGGUAACUCUGGGUCUUCCAUUCCUGUGGUGGUCCUCAUGAGGGCCAGUUUCGUCAUAGCGCUUGAUGGUUUUUGCGACUGCACUUGAAGAAACUUUCAAAGUUCUUGAUAUUUUCCGUAUUGACUGACUUUCAUGUCUUCAAGUAAUGAUGGACUGUCAUUUCUCUUUGCUUAUUUGAGCUGUUCUUGCCAUAAUAUGGACUUGGCCUAUUACCAAAUAGUAUCACCCCCUACCUGGUCACAACACAACUGAUAUGCUCAAAUGCAUUCAGAAGGAAAGAAUUUCCACAAAUGAACUUUUAAGAAGGCACACCUGUUAAUUGAAAUGCAUUCCAGGUGACUACCUCAUGAAGCUGGUUGAGAGAAUGCCAAGAGUGAAAAGCUGUCAUCAAGGCAAAGGGGGGCUACUUUGAAGAAUCUGAUUUGUUUAAAACUUUAUUUUGGUUACUACAUGAUUCCAUAUGUGUUAUUUAAUAGUUUGGAUGUCUUCACUACUAUUAUACAAUGUAGAAAAUUGUAAAAUAAAGAAACCCUUGAAUGAGUAGGUGUUCUAAAACUUUUGACCGGUAGUGUAUAUUUGCAAAAUAAGUAUUACGUGAGUCAAUAUGACUAUGACGAUAUUGACACUAUCAAAUGGUGUUUACUGUACAUACUGAGACAGACCCCUCAUUUGAAUGUUUUAUUCUGAAAAGUGGAAUAGUCUUAUCGAAUGGUGGGUCUCCAAUAAACGUACAUACUACUUGGUAAGUGCUACUACUUUUUAUUAGUUACAUGAUUCAGUUUGGUAUAGGUUUGUAAAUGAUGUACAAUUUAUAUAUUAAAAAAGAUGUUUCUUUGCAAAUGUUCAUUCUUUGAUAACGAAAUACAUGAUUUAAUACUGUGCUUCAAAAAAUUAUAAUUGUUACAAUCUUAACCACCUAUAUGUAUUUAGGUAAUACCAUAUACUCAAUAUACUGUUUACAAGUACUACUGUAGGUUGAAUGCUGUAGGGUGGGUGCAUGGGGCUUUACUUUGGCCCUUUCAUUUUCACUCAUCUUUUUUCCAUAUCUUGGUACAACUGCUGAUUGCUGUUCUGUUGUUGAGGGGCCACAUAAGUAGCAAGUCAUAUGAACCAAAUGAGCCAAACAAGUUAAACCUGAUCAUUUGCAAAACACAAUUGUUAUAGCAAUGAUUAUUUUGCGUGUUUGGUUUGUUUGACAUCUGUUUAAACAGGAUAGCACUUUUGGCAUACUGUACAGCAGUAUAAGUAUGGCCAUCAGAUAUGAUAUGGUCCUAUCAUAUCUGUAGUGUUCUAGCAACAAUCCUCUUCAGAGCAGCUAAGUGAACCUAAAAUAGACCACUAGCUAAUAGCAAUCACUGUCCUCACUGUUCUCAGGUUUCUUCCAGCACACCAAUAAGCUCUUUCUGAGCGAGCAGGCCACUGGUGUCCAGCUCAAGGAGUUUGUACGCAAAAAUGCAGCCAAUGCUCUGUCUAUGGCCAACAUGCUUAUGGGCAUGGCCUCUAUUCUCUGCAGCCUGAACGGCCACCAACAUGCUGCCUGCUGGCUGGUCCUGAUUGGCUACCUGCUGGACUUGGCAGACGGGGCAGUUGCCAGGCGACUGGAUGCAUGCUCUGCACUAGAUAGUCACGUCUACACUACCGUGGUCGCCACGGCUGCCUGAAAUAGCUCCCAGCAGGUGCACCACAAUGCGUCGUCACCCGGACAUUUCGGGCUUUGGCUUUGUGUCCCGACAGUAUUUUUCUGCAUGACUUUGCAGGUGCUAAACUGGAUGAUUUUGCAGAUUUCACAACCUUUGGGAUUGCAACUUCAUUGCUCCUGAGGACACAUGCCUUAAUGGACAACAUCCUGUGCAUGUGCUAUGUCCUGUCUGUGAUUGUCCGACUCUGCUUCUUCUCCAGCGGCAUCCCCUUCAUGUACCGUGGCCUGCCAUGUAUCUACUCUUCUGCCAUCCUUGCCUGUCUCUCCCUGCUGACCGGAGGUAACAUGGUGAUCCUGCGGGUCACUGCUGUGGCCAUGAUCCUCUUCAUGGUCAACCAGGGAUUCUACCCUCACGACAGGGUCCUGGAGUCACAGGCCUGGAAGAAGGUGGUCUACGCUGGAGGAGUUGUCAUGGUGUUCUGUUCCUCUUUCCCUCCGGCAUGUGUGUACUACCUGUUGUGGUCUGUGUCCUACAUUUUGUUCCCAACAACACUAUGGAGCUGCAAAGUGUAGUAGGCAUUAAAGGCCUAGCUACAAAUUCACACUCGCACAUGGCUUGUCAACAGGCUGUCCAGUGGGGUUAACUAAAGCGCCCAGACUGCUGCUGCCUACAGCGGAUCGAAACAGGACGUAAGAGGACGUUGUAAUGUUUUUGUAAGAUUGAACUGCCUUCAUCAUGAACACUUGAUGGAUAAUGUACUGUACCUUAGCCAUUUUGUUUUUGAAUAAGAUAGGGUUUGGGUAUCUGUAGCUAUUAUGUUUGUACAAUACAACUGCAGAGUCGUACUGUACUGCCUAGUGUGUGUGUGUGUGUGUGUGUGUACUGUAUCAUCCUUAUGCACAAAUUGUGCUUGAGAUUACUACAACAAUAAUACAAAAGUAUUUUCAGUCAUUAAUAAAGUCAUUGAGUAGCAGUUUUUACUGUAAAGAAUAAGAAAAUGUCAACAGUUUUUGCAGUAAAAAAAAAACAUGCCCCCCCCCUUUUUUUUCUGAACAUAGAUUCAAACUAGAUUCAAACAUGUGGCAUGCUCUCAAUUUGUAAGAUAUUUGUAAUACAAAAAAAAGGUUCAUUAUAUUGCAGAUACAAAUGAAGUCCAUUAAAUCAUGUUUUUUUAAUUAUGGAAGACACUACCAUCUCGAGAUCUUAUGUUCUACUGUACUUAAAAUAACUACCAAAGUGAUUGUACAUAAGAAUUGUGUGUGGAUAUGGGAUUGUUGAGAAAUAUUGUUUUUUUUAUUUUCCCAUCAACUGCAUUCUUUAAUUGGAAUAGUAUUUUUUUCUUCUUUAAAAUGUUCUAGCCAUUUUCAGACAAGAUUAGUUUGCUUUUAUUGCAAGCAAAAUGUAAUCGUGCUUUAAUUUAAGAGUGUUUACGUUCCCACCAGAUAUACAGUGCCCUCUGUAAUUAUUGGGACAAUUGAGCAUUGUUUUCUUCUUUUGGCUCUAUACUUGGUUUGGAUUUGAACUCAAACAAUGACUAUGAGGUUAAAGUGCAGACUGUCAGCUUUAAUGUGAAGGUAUUUCAUCCAUACUGGGUGAAAUAUUUAGAAAUUAUAUCACUUUUUCAAAAACAAAAACAAAAGAUUCCCGUGUGUAGUAAAACGUUACAUUUUUGGUCCCAUAUUUGUAGCACGCAAUAAUUACAUCAAGCUUUUGACUCUAAAAAAUGUUGGAUGCAUUUGCUGUUUUGUUUUGGUUGUUUCAUAUGGUUUUGGGCCCAAUAGAAAUGAAUGGUACAUGAUGUAUUGUGUCAUUGGAGUCACUUUUCCUGUGAAUAGAAAUGUUUCUAAGCACUUGGUAGAACACAUUGUAGCACAGAUAAUCCUGAAUGAGUCGUGAAUAAAAAUGAUAACCGCCCCUGUUAUUGUAAUGGUGAAAUGUUAGCAUGUCUUGUGGGGUCUGAUACUUUUUCACUCAUUAUUCAUGGUUCAUUUUGGGAUUAUCUGUAAUCGUGGUAGCAUCCACAUUGUUAUAGAAGUGUUUAGAAACAUAUUAUUUUCAAUAAAAGUCAAACAAAUUACACAAUACAUUAUUUACCAUUCAUUUCUAUUGGGCAGAAAAUAAUCUGAACACAACUAAAACAAAGAGCAAAUGCAUCCAACAAAGUUGUAGAGUCACAAGCUUGACGUAGUCAUGGUGUGCUUUGAAUAUGGGACCAAAUAGUACUUUUUACUGCUUUAAUACACAAGUGAAUUUGUCCCUCCCAUUUUAGGGGGAGCAAUGUACAAAAAGUCCUGUCAUUUCUAAACGGUGAACCUGCUAUGGAUUAAAUACCCUCAAGUUAAAGCUGAGGGUCUGCACUUUAACCUCAAAGUCAUUGUUUGAGUUCAAAUCCAAACUUUGAGUAUAGAGUCAAUAGAAGAAAAUGCUUCACUGUUCCAAUAAUUACAGAAGGCACUGUAUAUUAAAAUGAUCAUAGGCUAGCUAUGGUGAAUACAAUAAUGGGCAUUCAUAUAAAAUGACUGGGUUCUCGGUUCUCUUAUUAAAUGCCCACACCAGUAGAAAUCCACUUUUUUCUAGCUGAAAGACGAUGGCCAGAGUUUACCCAUAAAGUUUGACAAUGAUUUAAGUCCAAGUAUAUUUGUGCUUGAAGUGACAUCUGAACUGCCUACUUUUCCCAAAUCCGUGUGACUGCGGUGUCUUUUCCUAUGACGCACACAUUAUUUUCAGCCUCCGUUUUGUUUCAGGGCUGGGUUUUAUUUGAAUGUACCACCCACCACCAGCAUGGCUUUGUUUAUGAUUUAGAAACCGCUGCAAAAGUUAUUCAUCUUGGACCAUGUUGAGCCAAACAGUCCUCUGUCCACUUGACUGCCUGAACCAUGGAGCAUAUUAAAAUACUUGUUUUAUUUUACCAUAAAAUUAUCAUAAGCUAUUGGAUAAUUUUGUCGAUUUUCGCUGUAUUAAAUAUAUAUAUAUAUGGUAUAUUGCGUGAUAUGUUAGCAUUUCGCAAACCCGCUACCACUGUCACCCCAAGAUGAACGGUUUUGAUUGGUGUAAUGUUGGCAAGAAACCACAAAUGUCUAUACAGAUAAUGAAAAUGGACCCGCAAAAAAUUAUUUUAGGAACUUAGACGAAUUGGUUGUUUAGCCACAAAACCGCGUUGCGCAAUUAUGGGGUAUAAUAGACGGGGUUAGCUUAGAUUGUUGACAACAAAACUAUAUUUCAUCUCCAACGUUUAUUGAAAACAUAAAUACAUUUGCACAAUUAACACGUGUCUUUCAUACAUCGUUGUUGGUUAGCUAACAAGCUACUUUUAGCCAAAUUAGCAUGUGAAAUGAAAACACGAAACACUUCAAAACAAGGCACGGUAUCAAGAACAAAAAACUAGCUGAAACGAGCCAUUUACGAUUCCCCACACAUGGUAGUCUCAUUGUUGCUAGCUAUCUGCCCAUCCAGAAUCACGACACACGGACUUCUGCCCCAUUGAAGCGUGCAUUGUUGUCGCGGCGUCAGAAGUUACAUGUAAUGUGUGGCGUGUCAUUUCACCUUCCCCUGUGAGAACCAUGAGCACGGACAUACUUGGUUUUGCAGUGCCGCAGCUGAAACUUGACAGCAGCCUACUGAACAAAGUUUACACCGUGUCCAUUACAAUGUAGACAAACGCAUAUCACAUAUCUUUCAAUAUUCAUUCGAACUAUUUCAAUGGCGGGUUCGCAGAUGCAAUUUAUGGACGAUGCCAAAACUUGAGAUAACAUAUGGCGAAGUCAAAGAUAAGCCAGUGGUUUCCAUCUGUGGCAAAGUUGUCCCUAAACCAAUGCGUAUGACAAAUCCAGCUCCAAAACGAGCUAUAGAGCCAGCUGGCUAAUCUUUUGAAUAAGGUGUAGUAAAAACAUGAGGUUAGAAAGACACAGCUGUCAGUGUCCUUAUUCGUUAAUGUUUAUCAACUCCACAUAGACAGUCGCACCCUCAAUUUGCGAAUAUGUAUGUAUAUGUAUCCUUCGUCAUUCUUUGGUGGUCGACCCUAAAUGUGCAUUUCCUCUUUAGGAUGGGAAAUGACGUUGAAAUACUGGCGGAAACUUCCUCUGGGGGGGCUCCUUUAAAGCAGGGGUUCCCAAACCUUUUCACUCAGGCCCCCCUUCCAGCAUUGGGGAACACCCUGCUCCCUGUAUAUUUCUAUGGGCACAAGCACUAUUCAUGACAUAAACUGUUCACACCCCUCCUGUUGGCAGAGAGAAUGACAUGUCUAUGUAUUCAUGUGAUAUUUGAAAGAUUCAAACAUUACAACAAAAUCUAUGGGCAAAGAAACCUAGCUAAAAAACGUUAGCUAACAUGGGCUAGUUGAUCUGGACAUUCCCGACAAGUUAUAAAUAGCUCACUAAGCAAGGUAUUCAAUGACACAUGAAAACUGAUGAUGCAUUUCGAAAUUUCACCUUGUGCAUUCUACUAAUACUCUUGAAAGUUGUAAGUUGAAAGCUGGACUGCGUUCCCCCUUGGGUGAGCCUCACAGUUUGGGAACCACUGCUUUAAAGGCCCAGUGCAGUAAAAAACAUGAAUUCCCUGUGUGAUAUAUGUCCACACUACAAGGUUGGAAUAAUACAGUGAAAUUGUGAAAAUGAUAAUUGUCUUUUAGUGUGAGAGCUGUUUGAAAAGAGCCUGUUUUGGUGGGAUGGAGUUUUGGCCUGCCAGGUGACAUCACCAGACAGUCAAUUGACCAAUAAGAAAGAGUUCCAAUUCUCUCUGCCAAUAACAGCUAGUUUCCCUCUCCCCACUCUGACAAUCCUUUUAAUUUGACCUACACAUGACAUUGUGGUCAGACUUGUGAACAUAGCUUUAUAUUAGGUGUUUGCGCACCUCUGCUUCUGUUUUAGAAGGCUUUACAUAAUUUUAAAAAAAGCUUUACCAUCCCAUUGCUUUUAUUAACCUAAUGUACAGUGAAUAGUUCAACUUUUUUUUUUUUCAGUUGAUAACCUGUACCCUUUCACACUAUAGUGCCAGCCCGAACCAUUCUGUACUGGCUUAGAUGCAUUCCUUUCCCGCUGUCAUUUCCAGAACGAUUUCAACAGCUAUAGUGGGUGUGUAACCAGUCCUGCACAGAUCAUCUUGGCUUGGUUCGGCUCACCUCAGCUCAGUAGUGUGAAAAAGCUUUGCAGUUACUUUUAAGCGUGAGUCAUGAGGACAAAAUGUUGUCCGGAAUAUUCCUGUUCUUGAUCCAUUUCCGCAUGCCUCGGUGUGUUAUUCUGAAAAUGGUGGUUUGUACCUCUCUUUAGAAUUUUAGAUAUGAGUGUGCGAUGGAGACAAUGUGAUGAUGGGUUUGUUUUGAAUUGGCUUAAGAGACAAUAGCAACAGGACAGUAAAACUAUAAAUGUCACCUCCACGCCAUCCAAACGGCUUGUUUGUUGGCAUCGCGGUCAAUGAUAAGCAAUGUUAUGAAAAUCAACAGUGUUGAGUGUGUGCAGUACAGUUUUACAUAUCGUGAUCACAGUGACUUCAAGACAGUCUCAUUGUGGGCAUUAACUGUAUGGCUACAAUAUUACAUGUCUCAUUACUACUGUUAAAGGCACAGGAGUGAUCCUCACCAAAUGAUAAACUAGUAAAACAUCUUAUGAAGAUCUCUAUUUUAAAUUCUGUAAAUGUUUUGACAAUUAAAGUGGUGAUAUAA